rnacentral:rRNA from 1 species
CCUACGGGUGGCUGCAGUGGGGAAUAUUGGACAAUGGGGGGAACCCUGAUCCAGCCAUGCCGCGUGUGUGAAGAAGGCCUUUUGGUUGUAAAGCACUUUAAGCGAGGAGGAGGAGCUCUAGAUUAAUACUCUAGAUGCUUGGACGUUACUCGCAGAAUAAGCACCGGCUAACUCUGUGCCAGCAGCCGCGGUAAUACAGAGGGUGCAAGCGUUAAUCGGAUUUACUGGGCGUAAAGCGUGCGUAGGUGGUCUUUUAAGUCGGAUGUGAAAUCCCUGAGCUUAACUUAGGAAUUGCAUUCGAUACUGGGAGACUAGAGUAUGGGAGAGGAUGGUAGAAUUCCAGGUGUAGCGGUGAAAUGCGUAGAGAUCUGGAGGAAUACCGAUGGCGAAGGCAGCCAUCUGGCCUAAUACUGACACUGAGGUACGAAAGCAUGGGGAGCAAACAGGAUUAGAUACCCUUGUAGUC